ACUCAUAACCAUGCUGUCUGCAUGAUCAGCUGUAGUAGCAGAAACUUCACGAGUAUCACAGAGAGCAUCAUCGUUAUGGCUCAUCACAGAAGCAUUCUUCUAACACUUAGUGAAGUGUCACUUUGAUGGCCACAAGUCACACAUGAAUGGCAGACAAGUUACAGUCUCCAUUAGCAGUCUUCAGGCACAGAUCAAAGUGAGAGCUGUUUAAGGCCGAAGUCCCUCGGAUGUAACCUGUCUCUGUCUAGCAGUGGCACAUAGGAACAACUUCAUCACCUGACAUUCCAGGUGAUGCUGAAGGUGUACUCACUGCCUUUUGACUGUUAUUAUUGUUGACCUUUCAAACCAAAGAUCAGGCGGAGCUCAGGGAAUCUUGUAGAAGAGUGGAGGACAGAACUGAGUGAAUCAGGAGUCAAUAAGAAGACCUACAGAGUCGACUAACCUGGACCCAGGAAGGCUCACAGAGAAGGCUCACAAAGACUGAACUACCAACCAAAGAGCAUACAGGGGCUGGACCUAGGCCUACUACACAUUGUAACAGAUGUGCAGUUUGGUCUUCAUGUAAGCCCCCUAACAAUUGGAGCAGAGGCUUUCUCUGACUCUUGUCGUCCUACCCUUAAUUGGGCUGCCUGGUUGGACCUCAGUGGGAGAGGAUGAGCUUAGUCUUACUGCAUCUUGAUGUCCCAGG